AUGAGCUGCUGCAUAACAAGGAGAAGGACCGUCUUCAUGUACUGGUACCUCCAACUCGAACCCAUGCUUUGGCAAAACAAAGUCUAUUGCACAACGACCGGUCUCUUCUCUUGUAUGGUCAUGCACCCUGCUGCUUCCUGGUCUAUUGAUCCUUUCGAUAAUGGAGGCCAAUUCAAGGUGUACCCUGUACGUAUGAACACACGCUCAGCUGAAUUUUCAAGAUUUGUAGCUGGCAUGGAUGCAGACACGCUCAGGACCUUGCGUGCGAGCUAUGCCAUGAAAAGGAAGCAACACCACGACGCUCUUCGUGGCAUAGCUCGCACGCAACAGCCG
rnacentral:rRNA from 1 species